CAAGGUGACAGGAUGCAGACGCAACCUGGGGUCAGGAUCUGGAUGUGAGCAUGUCCUGUUCUGACCCCUGAGAGAGCCCAGAUGGUGACAGAAGUGGACAAACGCUCCUGCUGAGCAUCUCCUCAAGUCCAGAGGAUCACCACGAGACAAGAGGCACCCAAAAGGGCACAGAGCCAGUGCAGGAGGAGGAAACAUGGGCUCCCACUAAUGACGUGAAUUUCAGCACUGUCCUUGCUGGGGGAAAGGAGGCGUGUCAAGGUGUACUUUGCUUCAGACGACCGCAUCGGAGUGACUGAGCUCAGACGGAGUCCGGACAUGAACCUUUCCACCAAACAUCCUGUGCAACAAGACAACUUCACGUUCCACUCAAGGAACAAAAACAAAGGCUUGAUGUCUCUCCGGCUUGCAUUAAAUUGAUACCAGCUGGGGCGUAGCUAUGGCCUUUGUUGGAGGAUAAAUAAUCUAAAAGUGCAGAAAAACAUCCAAUAAUAGGUUUCCAUAGCGACAAUGACGUGGUAUUAUUACCAUUAGGGGAGAGGAUGUGAAGUAAAGCCAAUAAAGUGCAAGAGGCAGCGUCGUUUAUUAUGUGGUCAGAAACACUGUGGUAAAGAUGUGAAAUGAAAAAAAACAUUUACUACAAAAUAUUAUUUUAAACUACAGAAAUUUAGUAGCAGAAACUAUAUUGGCACUUUGUCAGAGAAUAACAUGAAUACUUGUGAAAAUGAUCUCUUGUUGCUUUUUUGGGGGGAAAAAAAAAAAAAGAAGUUGAUGUUUUUAUAUUUUUGUGAGAAUAUUUUCA